rnacentral:misc_RNA from 1 species
UGGGUAAGGACAUAAAUUGGGAGCCAUUGAACAGUGAUGAACUAAAGGCAUUGGCUUUAUUUGUGAUAUCAAAUACAACUUCUAACAUUCUGAAGCUACUGCAUAAGAUUCACGUAUUUUGAUAUUUUGACUAUAAUCCUUACAGGGUAUUUGGUACGAGGUUAACUUACUUUGUAACUUUUAACCCUUCGUUACAUUACGGUUAUUUGGACACUACUUGGGAGACUAGGUUAACUUUUUGCUUCAUUAUGCAUUUUUAGUUAAAUAUUAACCUUGGGGCUAGUUUAAUAAUUACCUUUUUAAAAUAUAAUAUUUAAUCCUUGAUUUUUUAACUUUUUAUCAAACACACACACCCUUAGGAUUAAAAGUCUAGCCCUAAAUAUUUUGAAUUUUUUCCCUCCUAGUAUUGAAUAUUUUGAAGCUCAAAACCAUACUCUCAGUAAAGACAACUGAAUAAUUUUAAUGAG